ACAUUGGACUUUGAACAGAUCUGUGUAGGAUAGGUGGGAGGCUUUGAAGCGGUGCCGCUAGGUGUCGUGGAGCCAACCUUGAAAUACCACCCUGGUGUGUUUGAGGUUCUAACCUUGGCCCGUGAUCCGGGUUGGGGACAGUGUAUGGUGGGCAGUUUGACUGGGGCGGUCUCCUCCCAAAGUGUAACGGAGGAGUUCGAAGGUACGCUAAAUACGGUCGGAAAUCGUGUUGAUAGUGCAUUGGCAUAAGCGUGCUUGACUGCGAGACUGACAAGUCGAGCAGGUACGAAAGUAGGACAAAGUGAUCCGGUGGUUCUGUAUGGAAGGGCCAUCGCUCAACGGAUAAAAGGUACUCUGGGGAUAACAGGCUGAUACCGCCCAAGAGUUCAUAUCGACGGCGGUGUUUGGCACCUCGAUGUCGGCUCAUCUCAUCCUGGGGCUGUAGCCGGUCCCAAGGGUAUGGCUGUUCGCCAUUUAAAGAGGUACGUGAGCUGGGUUUAAAACGUCGUGAGACAGUUUGGUCCCUAUCUUCCGUGGGC
rnacentral:rRNA from 1 species